rnacentral:lncRNA from 1 species
CACGAGAUCAAAUGACGAUCGAAGUUCCUCCACAUCGGCAGAGGUAAUCUCGAUCAGAAGAAAUAACAGGCCGCGGACGAUUAUAUCUGACUACCUCAACGCGCGCACAUGUGCUUCGAAUUUGACCAGUGUAAUUCGUUGAGAACUAUUUUUUCUAUGAAACUUUCCAAGCUUAGUUAUACCUCAGAGAAGCAAUCGAUCAUGUGCAGGCAGUAUAAAUACACAACGUACGCAUGGUGGCAGUCUAUCUCAUCGUUACAGAUAUAUCUUCCUUGAUUAGUUUUGUAAGCUCUUCAUCAGCGAUGGAGUACUCGACGAAGCUAGGGGUGUUGCUCGUAGCUCUCAUGUUGGCCAUGGCGGUCACGGCCCAAAACUCGGAGCAGGACUUCGUGGACGCCCACAACGCGGCGCGCGCCGACGUGGGCCUUGGGGAGGUGACAUGGGACGCUACGGUGGCAGCCUUCGCGCAGGACUACGCGGAUCAGCGCCGCGGCGACUGCCAGCUGAUCCAUACUCCUGAUGGCCGGCCGUACGGGGAGAACCUCUACGGAGGCGGCGGGACCGAGUGGACGGCGACGGACGCCGUGAAUUCGUGGGUGUCGGAGAAGCAGUACUACGACCACGACAGCAACACCUGCUCGGCGCCCGAGGGUGAGUCGUGCGGGCACUACACGCAGGUGGUGUGGCGCGACUCGACGGCCAUCGGCUGCGCCCGCGUCGUCUGCGACAGCGGCGACGGUGUGUUCAUCAUCUGCAGCUACAACCCGCCAGGCAACUUCCCCGGGGUGAGCCCGUACUAGGCUAUAUGCAUCAUGCAUGCAUGCGAGCGUGCAUGUACGUACGGCGUAUUGCAUAAAUAAAAUGAUUAAGCUCUGAUAACCACAGUGUGAUCAGAUGUGAUAUAUAAUUAACCAGCCGGCCGGAUUUGAGGCCAUAUAUUGUUUAGACCGGCUGUAUAUAUGUACCGUUGUGAUUCAGGUAAUAAGUUGUGUUAUUGUAUAAGCAGUGUUUAUGGAUGAAUAUAUGGUUCUACUAUUAUACUGUGCAUGGUAUAUGUGCCUGUGAAAAAAACCCAGCACACUUAGAAACCACUAAUCAAAGUGUCUUUCUUCCGUUUUGUCAUCUCGCACUUGUUCUUUAUGUUGUGCAUUUUUUUUCCGGAUCCCAACUCGUAAAACGGAGUAGAUCUCGAGAGGGCACACUAGGUCUUGUUCCUGAGACUCGCGCUCCCUCCUCCACGCCAUAGGCCACUCCCACCGUGACAGUCACCCAAUCUGUCAUUAUGGCUCACCCAUCCACUCCCAGGUUUCACUCUGGAUCCAGCUCCGGUCGUGGUCCCGUGCAAGCUCGCUCUCGACUAGCGGUCCAUCGUAGGUUUCGGACUCGCUUGCGGCCCCGCCCGUGAAUGCAGUAGAUCUGACCUCGACGCCACGAAUCCUGCCGCGGGGAGAGUCAUCCAACGCCAUGCAUGCCUAUGGUACUCCAGAUCUGGUGUUGUGAUUGAGCGGCAGUACCUAAAUCCAUCGUGGUCAUCCCCUACGCUCUUGUCAACAUUUCCUCUUCGGGCGAGGAGGAAGGAUGGACGAAGAAAUAAUCUCGAAGGAACACACACAAGCAAGGAGCCAUCGAUUAUUAGUGCACACGUACAGCUACACAGCUCGGACCGACACCGGGACAUCAAUGGUGCGCCGGGCCUUGAGGCCUUCUUAAGCUGCUUCAAAGGCCGGAUACUCUGGGUUGCAUCAUUUGCGAGCUGUCAGGGCAUUUCGGCAGAGAGUACCCUCAAAAUCCAUGAAACGGCGGUGUCCGGCGCCGACCUGGGCGCCAAUUCAAGAUCAGGUUCAAACAACCGGGCAAUUACCCCUUCAUCCACCAAAAGAGAUGAAAUGCUUUCACUAUUUGUUCUAGAAGAUAACUUACCGGCGUUUUUGUUAAUUACAAAUGAUUGUGAAGGUGUAUGGUAGGAAGCCAAUAACACUUAGUGUGGAAUAUUUUUAUAAUGCAAAGUAGAUAAUUAUUGUAUCGGAGAUGCCGGCUUCUUUCAAGUAUUAUAUAAACUAGAUGACCCGUUGCGCCGAUGGCGCAAAAGGCCGAGUGCAAGCCAAGUAUUGAAAGAGUGUGCAUUCAAAUAUGUAGACACAGAAUGAAACAUACAGAAAUAAGUAUGAAUUGAUGAUAGAUAGAUGGUCGUUGCUGAACAUGUUUUCUAAGAAGCUUAUGAACGAUCAUUUACAAUGUUAUGAGUAAGGCAUGUAGAUAGGCAGAGAUACGUUUGACAGAUGUAUCGUUGGACAUUCAGAACGAUUCUCUGAGUCAACUCUUCAUAGUUGCUAUUCUUCAUGGCCUGCAUUGCUCAAAGGAGAAAUUCAUUUGAUGUCAUCGUCGAGUUUCCAAUAAUUGUGGUGUGUUUGCUAGAGAUCAUAUUCAGACUAUGUUGUUGUAUUGCUAAGACGGUCAGCAACAUAUUUUACCUGUGAUAAAACAUGAUUGAGAUUGUUCUCUUUCAAUGUUGAACUAGCUGUGAAGUUUGUAUCUAUUAUGCGAUAAAGUUUCUUUGCUGCCAUGCGAUCUGUGACGCCCCCGAUUCAAUCGUACACUAAUCAUUCACGCAAAUGUGUACGAUCAAGAUCAGGGACUCACGGGAUGAUAUCACAACACAACUCUAAAACAUAAAUAAGUCAUACAAGCAUCAUAAUACAAGCCAGGGGCGUCGAGGGCUCGAAUACAAGUGCUCGAUCAUAGACAAGUCAGCGGAAGCAACAAUAUCUGAGUACAGACAUAAGUUAAACAAGUUGCCAUAAGAUGGCUAGCACAAACUGGGAUACAAAUCGAAAGAGGCGCAGGCCUCCUGCCUGGGAUCCUCCUAACUACUCCUGGACGUCGUCAGCGGGCUGCACGUAGUAGUAGGCACCUCCGGUGUAGUAGGGGUCGUCAUCGACGGUGGCGUCUGGCUCCAGGGCUCCAGCAUCUGGUUGCGACAACCAGGUAGAAGGGAAAGGGGAAAAGAGGGAGAAAAGCAACCGUGAGUACUCAUCCAAAGUACUCGCAAGCAAGGAACUACACUACAUAUGCAUGGGUAUAUGUGUAAGGAGGCCAUAUCAGUGGACUGAACUGCAGAAUGCCAGAAUAAGAGGGGGGGUAGCUAGUCCUAUCGAAGACUACGCUUCUGGCAGCCUCCGUCUUGCAGCAUGUACAAGAGAGUAUAUUGAAGUCCUCCAAGUAGCAUCUCCAAGUAGCAUCUCCAAAUAGCAUCUCCAAGUAGCAUCUCCAGUAGCAUCGCAUAGCAUAACCCUACCCGACGAUCCUCCCCUCGUCGCCCUGUGGAAAAGCGAUCACCGGGUUGUCUGUGGAACUUGGAAGGGUGUGUUUUAUUAAGUAUCCGGUUCUAGUUGUCAUAAGGUCAAGGUACAACUCCAAGUCGUCCUGUUACCGAAGAUCACAGCUAUUCGAAUAGAUUAACUUCCCUGCAGGGGUGCACCAACUUACCCAGCACGCUUGAUCCCAUUUGGCCGAACACACUUUCCUGGGUCAUGCCCGGCCGCGGAAGAUCAACACGUCGCAGCCCCACCUAGGCUCAACGGAGAGGCCAGCACGCCGGUCUAAACCUAAGCGCGCAGGGGUCUGGGCCCAUCGCCCUGAGCACACCUGCACGUUGCGUACGCGGCCGGAAGCAGACCUAGCCUAGUGGCGUUCCAGUCCAAUCCGGCGCGCGCCACUCAGUCGCUGACGUCACGAAGUGCUUCGGCUGAUACCACGACGCCGGGAUACCCAUAACUACUCCCGUGUAGAUGGUUAGUGCGUAUAGGCUCGUAACCAACUCAGAUCAAAUACCAAGAUCUUGUUAAGCGUGUUAAGUAUCCGCGAACGCCGAACAGGGCCAGGCCCGCCUCUCUCCUAGGCGGUCUCAACCUGCCCUGACGCUCCGCGACAAAGAUCCACUCGCGGGUGCUCCACCAGCCGACUCAACUAUAGUCUCCACAUGUAUCAUGUACAAGUAUAUAGUAUAUACCCGAGAUCACCUCCCGAGUGAUCUCGGCCCAAUAGUAUAGCACAGCAGACGGACAAGAAUGUAGGGCCACAGAUGAAAAAUACUAGCAUCCUAUACUAAGCAUAUAGGAUUGAAGGUAAAGGUAUCAACAGUAGUAACAAGGACAGGCUAUGCAUCAGGAUAGGUAUAACAGAAAGCAGUAACAUGCUACACUACUCUAAUGCAAGCAGUAUAGAGUAGAAUAGGCGAUAUCUGGUGAUCAAGGGGGGGGCUUGCCUGGUUGCUCUGGCAAGAGAGAGGGGUCAUCAACUCCGUAGUCGAACUGGGCAGCAGCAGCGUCGGUCUCGUAGUCUACCGGAGAGAAGAGGGGGGAAGAAACAAUGAAUACCAUGUAAACAGAUGCAUAUCGAUGCAUGACAAGACAAGUAACGAUGCUAGGCGCGCCCUAGCGUGGUAUGAGGUGGUACCGGUUAAGGGGGGAAACAUUCGGGAAAAUAUCCCCGGUGUUUCGUGUUUUCGGGCAGAGGAGCCGGAGGGGGAAAGUUGCAGGUUCGACAGGUUAGGGGUGUGUGGCGGACGAACGGACUGCGUAUCCGGAUUCGUCUCGUCGUUCUAAGCAACUUUCAUGUUGAAAUUAUUUUAAUCCGAGUUACGGAUUAAAAGAUAUGAUUUUCUAAAGAUUUUAUUAAUUUCUGGAAUUUAAUUAAUUAUUUAAUUAAUUCGAAAAUGGAUUUAUGACAUCAGCGUGAUGUCAUGCUGACGUCAGCAGUCAAAGUUGGUCGUUGACCUGGUCAACCUGUCAUGUGGGUCCAGUGGGACCCACCUGUCAUUCUCUGUUUAGGUUAAUCACAAAUUAGUUAAUUUAAUUAGUGAUUAGGUUAAUUUAAUCAGGAUUAGUUAACUUAAUUAAUUACUUAAUUACUUAAUUAAUAAUUAAUUAAUUUAUUAAAUCAUUUUUAUUUUUAUUUAUUAUUUUUAUUUUUAAUUCUUUUUUUUCUAAAAACGCUAUGGGGCGGGGCCCUGUGGUCAGUGGCCCGGGGGGGCUUGCGGGUCGGGCGCUGCGGCGCCCACUGGGCGCUCGCCCCAAUUCAGCGGCGAGGAGGACCGGGGCAUGGCCGGGCGGCCACCGGAGGGGAAUCGCCGAGGGGGGAGCAGCAGGUCGCCAGGGCGCGACGGCGGGUGCGGUGUAGCCCGCCCAGGCGGCGAGGGAGAGUUGGGUGCGGGCGCCGGCGGGGCCAAGCAGGGCGACGGCCAGGGCAGGGGGCGACGCCGUCCGGGGCAAGAUGAGGCCGGCGCGGGCGAAGGNNNNNNNNNNNNNNNNNNNNNNNNNNNNNNNNNNNNNNNNNNNNNNNNNNNNNNNNNNNNNNNNNNNNNNNNNNNNNNNNNNNNNNNNNNNNNNNNNNNNNNNNNNNNNNNNNNNNNNNNNNNNNNNNNNNNNNNNNNNNNNNNNNNNNNNNNNNNNNNNNNNNNNNNNNNNNNNNNNNNNNNNNNNNNNNNNNNNNNNNNNNNNNNNNNNNNNNNNNNNNNNNNNNNNNNNNNNNNNNNNNNNNNNNNNNNNNNNNNNNNNNNNNNNNNNNNNNNNNNNNNNNNNNNNNNNNNNNNNNNNNNNNNNNNNNNNNNNNNNNNNNNNNNNNNNNNNNNNNNNNNNNNNNNNNNNNNNNNNNNNNNNNNNNNNNNNNNNNNNNNNNNNNNNNNNNNNNNNNNNNNNNNNNNNNNNNNNNNNNNNNNNNNNNNNNNNNNNNNNNNNNNNNNNNNNNNNNNNNNNNNNNNNNNNNNNNNNNNNNNNNNNNNNNNNNNNNNNNNNNNNNNNNNNNNNNNNNNNNNNNNNNNNNNNNNNNNNNNNNNNNNNNNNNNNNNNNNNNNNNNNNNNNNNNNNNNNNNNNNNNNNNNNNNNNNNNNNNNNNNNNNNNNNNNNNNNNNNNNNNNNNNNNNNNNNNNNNNNNNNNNNNNNNNNGUGGGGGGAGUGGGGGGUCUCGGUGCCUAGGGUUUGCGGGGUGGGGGAUAAGGAGAGGGAGUGGGUGCCGACCUGGGCCGGCCUGGUUGGCCCGAUGGCCAGCUGGGCCGCGGUCUAGCAGGGGAGGGGGGAGUUUAGUUUUUUUUUACCUUUUGUAUUUUCUUUUAUUAUCUGUUUUCUGUUUUAAUUCAUUUAAAAGUAUUUAGGCAUUUUAUAAAAAUGUGUUUACUGAACUAUAAUUACCUAUGCCAAUUUUGGCACAGACCGAACAUUUUUGUUUUGAUGUUUGAAAACUUUUGAUGUUUGACAAUAUUUAAAUUUUUAAUUUGAAAAGUUUCGAACCGACGCGAGAUUAGCAACAGUAAACGAGGUGACGUGGCAUCAUUAGCAGAGGUUCACUGUAGCUUAAAUACCCGGGCGUCACAAUUCUCCUCCACUACAAGAAAUCUCGUCCCGAGAUUUAGGAGCGGGAGUAAGGGGAAAUGGAUUUGGUCACGAAAUUUUAACGAAUCUUCUCGGUCUUGGUUGCUCUUCUUGAAGUGGUAGAUCCAUAGCGUUGAUGUCUUCAUUCCUAUGCAUCAAUACAUCAUGAUGAGGUUGUCGUCCUUCCUUCAGGAACUCCAUCGUACUUACGAAAAUUAUAAGGGUUAACUUCGGAAGAACAGGCCUCUACAAGGUUGCUUAGCCUGUAGAUAACAAUAGGGAAGGUGGCGGAAAGUAACUCUCGAACUAAAACUUAAGAAUGUAUCGUGAGCAAAGUAAGAAGGUACAACAAGGAGUUCCAAGCGGAUAGACAAUCGUUCGAUGCCGGAAAAGAGUGCUAAAGGGGUUCAGAGCAUCAAGAUUAAGUAUUGCAUCUGAUACCGGAACAGAUCACUAGGAAGGUGGUUCGCGAAUUACACACGAAGCCAAGCAUGAGUAUUGACUUUGGGAAAGGGGGUACAGGAGGGUCAGGUUUCGAUCCUGUGGAACUGUGGGUUAUGGGCCCACCAUGUGGGUUAAAAGUAGGAAAGGCAGUGACGUCUUGCACAAUCAUGUAAGCAAGGCAUGUUAGAGGAUAGCCUGACAGUUAUGUCGGCAACAAUGUCGGUAUCAAGGGCGAGGGACGAAGAGAACCAUCUUCCUGCUCGUUGAACGAGGCGGACCAAUAGGCAAAGUUCUCGUCCAUCGGUGGUUACCGGAAUGUCAUCACCAAAAUAACAAGGUCUUUCUGACAGAAUUGUACACCGAGGUGUUUACAAAAGUAGGAGAAUAUUACUGCUUAGAUCUCAUAGAUCACAAGAAAGGUUAAACCAAACAAUGGAAAGGAAGAUAUGAUUAUCGGAUUUAACCAGAUCAAUGGAAAGGAAAAAUGUGUUUAAACACAUUUUCCAGGGGUAUAUCCUCCCCAAGGACAAGCAGAUGAUAUCCAUGACAGGAUAGUAGGUAGAAAACCAUUUUAGGUAAGGGAAGAAAAAUUUCAUGACAUUACCCAUACAACGGUGUUUGGAUAAUUGAUAAAGAGAAUUUAGCAUUGUGCUUCAAAUGUUCUUGGUGAUGAACGGAGUACCACAGACAUGCUUCAGGUAGCAAUGAUAUGGUGUUUCAAUCAAGGGCCCGACUUCGGAUACACCAAUGAUCCAUCAGGAGUAACUUAUAAAAUAAUUCCUACCACUUCCUCCAGGAGGAAUGGUUAUCCUUGCAAAAGAAAUCAUAAUGAUAGGUCCUCCAGCCAGGGGGGGUGCUAGGCAUGACAUCAUGUUACUGGGUCAUCAAAGGACAAACAACAUAACUCCUAGAAAGUUGUCCCAACCAUCAUAUCUGACCGAGAUUCAGAUCCAAUUGGUGUCAUGAUGCCUCAGACUCAGGAUGUCCGAGAAGAAAAGGCGCAACACAAAUCAUUGAAAUGGCAUUGCAAGAUUCUCGGGAAAUGAACUAUGGGAGCGGGUUCCUGAAACAAUAGUUCAUCAUUAAACCAAGGAGAGGUGAGGAGGUGGCUGAUUGACUCAGCGACAAUUCAUUGAGAUUUUCAAAAGAUGGAUUUCCACAAUAAUGUGAACAAGAAGAUGACAUUUGUCAGAUCAAAUGGUAUAGUGAUGUAUGCUCGAGGAAAACAUACACAAUUGAACAUUGGUUGAAAAGUGCACCCGAAAUAUGGGUUGGGUUGCACGACCAAUGUCAGAAUGGUGAUUCAAUAGUCAAUAGCCUAAGAAUGAACUUUCGACCAUUAACUUCAAAAAAAUAGGGUUGCUAGAAGGAAAGAAUCCAAACAACACCGUUCACUUGUUGGAAUUAACACGGGGACCCAGAAAGAAUGGUGAUGGUGAGAAGUAUUUCUAUGUCAAGAAUUCUCAAGAGGUGGAACAAAUCUCAGAACAUUCUUGACAUAAAGGAUGGUAAUACUCCAAGGUAAAGAAGAACAAUUGCUGGAUAGCAAGGAACUCAAGGUAUAACACCAAACAUGAACAAGCUUGUGUUGGUGGGAGGGCAAUAAAGUGGUCGACGAUAAUACAAUUCAUCGAGGGCAAGGAUGGUAUUUCUCAUCAUGAAUUCAAUUGAUAUCCUGGAUGAGCUCAGAAUGUUGAUGAUCACGACACCUUUGUCGCGAGAGUUCAUGAAGAUGUAAUCGAGCGGUAACGACAUCAAGUCAAGUAAUGAUGAAGUGAAAGGUUAUUGGAACCAAGGGUAUGACUCAAACUCGAAACCAAGCUUGUUGUUCAAGGCAAAAUGAUAUGACGAUGAGGAUCGACGUAAGGUUAGUUCAUCGUCGAAAAUUGGUGCUCCGAGAAUAAGGACCAGGUAGCACAGUUAGAAUCGUCACGACAAUGAUAUAGCCAAACAGGCUAGGAAUGGCGUGAUCGGGUACAAACUCGUACUUAUAGAAGCUUACUGAAGAGUUGUUGAACCGAAGAGCGGACUCGGUUCAGUUAUCGGUGUCUUUGAGUGUUCAAUAACUCAGAGCCCGCGAAAAAUUGGAAUCAGUGGGAAGGUAGCACUUGAUGAAGAACUCAUAAAAAGUUAUGCAGUUCCAUGAUAAUCUCGAGAUACUAGGGGGGUAAUACUCGACACAAGAUCAAAGUAAAGGUUGGACUGGUGUAUUGAUCCAUAGAAGACAAUUGUUUUAACUUGUCCGAGAAAUGAGAUCAAAGAAGAACAAUCAUGGUCGGAACCACGGUUGCAAAAGGCCAGAUCCUAGAUAUAGCAUGAACUUAUACCAAAGGAAUAAUUUAUUUAAGAGAAGCUUUAAUGAUAAGAUCUACAUCGUGUCCAUGGGCAUGAACACAAGUUCAAGGUCGACUCCCACUUCUCCAAUGCAUAACCUUUCAUUCACUUCUCACGUUCGAUGAAGUUGCAGUGUUGAAAUUUUAUCUGGUGAAGCACCAGAAGAGUAUGACUCGUGAAAACUUUCGGGUUCACACGGUUUAGAGAAUGCAUAUGUUCAACCCAUAGGGUCUUCUUAGAAACAUAUACCACAAGUUUCAAGAGUAAAUAACACAAGCCCGAAAGCAGAGCAUGGUUGACCAAGAAGAGGAUACAACUUAACAAAGGCAUUAUGUAUCAGGGGAAGAACUCACAAGGUGAUCAAAUGUGAAGGACACUGUCGGAUAACAAUCCAACAAAGGACUUGAUGGUCCACAAAGGAUCUGAUACGAGUAUCGGUACUCAACUAGAGGAAGAAGAAUGCAAGGAGAUCAGAUUAUAGAAACAACUGACUAACUCAAUUGUCAAAUGCAAAGGAAUUAUGAUUUCCAAAUCAAGGGAUCAGAAGCAAUGCUCUGAUUAGGGAUGGAUAAGUUGAAUAGCCUUAGGGUACAAUCAACGACAAUUGGAUUGGUCGAGAACCAAUUCCAGUUAAAAGAAUGGAAGCUCAGCCGGAAAGGUAAUUUAUAAGGAUCAAUGAUGAUUGCGUGUAUUCGCAGCAUAUUGAGUCAACAGACUCAAAAUGAUAAUGACAAGGAAUGUCAAUAAGAUUUCUAUACUUAUGGGAUUAAUCAUAAUGAAAGCAAACAAGAAAUUCCAGAGCAAUAGGUUGCUGAGGAUUUUCGGAAUAUCGGGUGGUAUUUCGAAGACUUUUGUGUAACACAUGAACAACUAGGGGAUGAGCGGAUACUCGAUAAGUGCGAGAAUUAACCGUAGGGGUAUUCAAGUGACAAAGAACAGCAAGGCAGUAAGCUCAAGGGAUUAUCGAAACAACGACGAGUUUUUCAGGGUAUCUUGUAAUAACAAGACCACUGGGGAUGAAUGUAAGAAUAACAAAUGCAAGUAGUUAUCCAUAAGGGUUUGCGGUGGAAGGUGAAUUGCAAACGCGAUGAACACAAGUUCUCGGGUUAACAGCGGAGAGUAUCUUCAGGGUCUUCUGGUGCAGCAGACGAUCAUUAGUAAUAAGGGGCUCUCCGGGUGAAAGUGAUAACGAGAUCCUAAUGUUAGAUUUAGUAAACUUCAUUUAACCCGAAUAGAGGAGAGAUCAGAGUCCCAGAGUAAAGGUCGAGGAGUAAAAGAUCCUAGUACCACCCAAUGGCGACGUGGGCCCGUAAGGCACACAGCCAUGUUAGUAAAAGUUUUGUAAUGUCUAGACUCGACUUCGGCCAAGGAGUUGGAAAGGGGGAUUCCUACAGGCAGUCGGCUCUGAUACCAACUUGUGACGCCCCCGAUUCAAUCGUACACUAAUCAUGCACGCAAAUGUGUACGAUCAAGAUCGGGGACUCACGGGAAGAUAUCACAACACAACUCUAAAACAUAAAUAAGUCAUACAAGCAUCAUAAUACAAGCCAGGGGCCUCGAGGGCUCGAAUACAAGUGCUCGAUCAUAGACAAGUCAGCGGAAGCAACAAUAGCUGAGUACAGACAUAAGUUAAACAAGUUGCCAUAAGAUGGCUAGCACAAACUGGGAUACAGAUCGAAAGAGGCGCAGGCCUCCUACCUGGGAUCCUCCUACCUACUCCUGGACGUCGUCAACGGGCUGCACGUAGUAGUAGGCACCUCCGGUGUAGUAGGGGUCGUCGUCAAUGGUGGCGUCUGGCUCCAGGGCUCCAGCAUCUGGUUGCGACAACCAGGUAGAAGGGAAAGGGGAAAAGAGGGAGAAAAGAAACCGUGAGUACUCAUCCAAAGUACUCGCAAGCAAGGAACUACACUACAUAUGCAUGGGUAUAUGUGUAAGGAGGCCAUAUCAGUGGACUGAAUUGCAGAAUGCCAGAAUAAGAGGGGGGAUAGCUAGUCCUAUCGAAGACUACGCUUCUGGCAGCCUCUGUCUUGCAGCAUGUAGAAGAGAGUAGAUUGAAGUCCUCCAAGUAGCAUCUCCAAGUAGCAUCUCCAAAUAGCAUCUCCAAGUAGCAUCUCCAGUAGCAUCGCAUAGCAUAACCCUACCCGGCGAUCCUCCCCUCGUCGCCCUGUGGAAAAGCGAUCACCGGGUUGUCUGUGGAACUUGGAAGGGUGUGUUUUAUUAAGUAUCCGGUUCUAGUUGUCAUAAGGUCAAGGUACAACUCCAAGUCGUCCUAUUACCGAAGAUCACGGCUAUUCGAAUAGAUUAACUUCCCUGCAGGGGUGCACCAACUUACCCAGCACGCUUGAUCCCAUUUGGCCGGACACACUUUCCUGGGUCAUGCCCGGCCGCGGAAGAUCAACACGUCGCAGCCCCACCUAGGCUCAACGGAGAGGCCAGCACGCCGGUCUAAACCUAAGCGCGCAGGGGUCUGGGCCCAUCGCCCCGAGCACACCUGCACGUUGCGUACGCGGCCGGAAGCAGACCUAGCCUAGUGGCGUUCCAGUCCAAUCCGGCGCGCGCCACUCAGUCGCUGACGUCACGAAGUGCUUCGGCUGAUACCACGACGCCGGGAUACCCAUAACUACUCCCGCGUAGAUGGUUAGUGCGUAUAGGCUCGUAACCAACUCAGAUCAAAUACCAAGAUCUCGUUAAGCGUGUUAAGUAUCCGCGAACGCUUAACAGGGCCAGGCCCGCCUCUCUCCUAGGCGGUCUCAACCUGCCCUGACGCUCCGCCACAAAGAUCCACUCGCGGGUGCUCCACCAGCCGACCCGACUAUAGUCUCCACAUGUAUCAUGUACAAGUAUAUAGUAUAUACCCGAGAUCACCUCCCGAGUGAUCUCGGCCCAAUAGUAUAGCACAACAUACGGACAAGAAUGUAGGGCCACAGAUGAAAAAUACUAGCAUCCUAUACUAAGCAUAUAGGAUUGAAGGUAAAGGUAUCAACAGUAGUAACAAGGACAGGCUAUGCAUCAGGAUAGGUAUAACAGAAAGCAGUAACAUGCUACACUACUCUAAUGCAAGCAGUAUAGAGUAGAAUAGGCGAUAUCUGGUGAUCAAGGGGGGGGCUUGCCUGGUUGCUCUGGCAAGAGAGAGGGGUCGUCAACUCCGUAGUCGAACUGGGCAGCAGCAGCGUCGGUCUCGUAGUCUACCGAAGAGAAGAGGGGGAAGAAACAAUGAAUACCAUGUAAACAGAUGCAUAUCGAUGCAUGACAAGACAAGUAAUGAUGCUAGGCGUACCCUAGCGUGGUAUGAGGUGGUACAGGUUAAGGGGGGGAAACAUUCGGGAAAAUAUCCUCGGUGUUUCGUGUUUUCGGGCAGAGGAGCCGGAGGGGGAAAGUUGCGGGUUCGAUAGGUUAGGGGUGUGUGGCGGACGAACGGACUGCGUAUCCGGAUUCGUCUCGUCGUUCUGAGCAACUUUCAUGUAGAAAUUAUUUUAAUCCGAGUUACGGAUUAAAAGAUAUGAUUUUCUAAAGAUUUUAUUAAUUUCUGGAAUUUAAUUAAUUAUUUAAUUAAUUCGAAAAUGGAUUUAUGACAUCAGCGUGAUGUCAUGCUGACGUCAGCAGUCAACGUUGGCCGUUGACCUAGUCAACCUGUCAUGUGGGUCCAGUGGGACCCACCUGUCAUUCUCUGUUUAGGUUAAUCACAGAUUAGUUAAUUUAAUUAGUGAUUAGGUUAAUUUAAUCAGGAUUAGUUAACUUAAUUAAUUACUUAAUUAAUUAAUUAAUAAUUAAUUAAUUUAUUAAAUCAUUUUUAUUUUUAUUUAUUAUUUUUAUUUUUAAUUCUUUUUUUUUCUAAAAACGCUAUGGGGCGGGGCCCUGUGGUCAGUGGCCCGGGGGGGCUUACGGGUCGGGCGCUGCGGCGCCCACUGGGCGCUCGCCCCAAUUCAGCGGCGAGGAGGACCGGGGCAUGGCCGGGCGGCCACCGGAGGGGAAUCGCCGAGGUGGGGAGCAGCAGGGCGCCAGGGCGCGACGGCGGGUGCGGUGUAGCCCGCCCAGGCGGCGAGGGAGAGUUGGGCGUGGGCGCCGGCGGGGACAAGCAGGGCGACGGCCAGGGCGGAGGGCGACGCCGUCCGGGGCAAGAUGAGGCCGGCGCGGGCGGAGGCACGCCANNNNNNNNNNNNNNNNNNNNNNNNNNNNNNNNNNNNNNNNNNNNNNNNNNNNNNNNNNNNNNNNNNNNNNNNNNNNNNNNNNNNNNNNNNNNNNNNNNNNNNNNNNNNNNNNNNNNNNNNNNNNNNNNNNNNNNNNNNNNNNNNNNNNNNNNNNNNNNNNNNNNNNNNNNNNNNNNNNNNNNNNNNNNNNNNNNNNNNNNNNNNNNNNNNNNNNNNNNNNNNNNNNNNNNNNNNNNNNNNNNNNNNNNNNNNNNNNNNNNNNNNNNNNNNNNNNNNNNNNNNNNNNNNNNNNNNNNNNNNNNNNNNNNNNNNNNNNNNNNNNNNNNNNNNNNNNNNNNNNNNNNNNNNNNNNNNNNNNNNNNNNNNNNNNNNNNNNNNNNNNNNNNNNNNNNNNNNNNNNNNNNNNNNNNNNNNNNNNNNNNNNNNNNNNNNNNNNNNNNNNNNNNNNNNNNNNNNNNNNNNNNNNNNNNNNNNNNNNNNNNNNNNNNNNNNNNNNNNNNNNNNNNNNNNNNNNNNNNNNNNNNNNNNNNNNNNNNNNNNNNNNNNNNNNNNNNNNNNNNNNNNNNNNNNNNNNNNNNNNNNNNNNNNNNNNNNNNNNNNNNNNNNNNNNNNNNNNNNNNNNNNNNNNNNNNNNNNNNNNNNNNNNNNNNNNNNNNNNNNNNNNNNNNNNNNNNNNNNNNNNNNNNNNNNNNNNNNNNNNNNNNNNNNNNNNNNNNNNNNNNNNNNNNNNNNNNNNNNNNNNNNNNNNNNNNNNNNNNNNNNNNNNNNNNNNNNNNNNNNNNNNNNNNNNNNNNNNNNNNNNNNNNNNNNNNNNNNNNNNNNNNNNNNNNNNNNNNNNNNNNNNNNNNNNNNNNNNNNNNNNNNNNNNNNNNNGUGCCUAGGGUUUGCGGGGUGGGGGGAUAAGGAGAUGGAGUGGGGGCCGACCUGGGCCGGCCUGGUUGGCCCGAUGGCCAGCUGGGCCGCGGUCCAGCAGGGGAGGGGGGAGUUUAGUUUUUUUUUACCUUUUGUAUUUUCUUUUAUUAUUUGUUUUCUGUUUUAAUUCAUUUAAAAGUAUUUAGGCAUUUUAUAAAAAUGUGUUUACUUCACUAUAAUUACCUAUGCCAAUUUUGGCACAGACCGAACAUUUUUGUUUUGAUGUUUGAAAACUUUUGAUGUUUGACAAUAUUUAAAUUUUUAAUUUGAAAAGUUUCGAACCGACGCGAGAUUAGCAACAGUAAACGAGGUGACGUGGCAUCAUUAGCAGAGGUUCACUGUAGCUUAAAUACCCGGGCGUCACACGAUCUCCAAUGAGGCUAUUGCACUAGCUGUUGCUAAAAUAGUUGAUUAUUCCGUCUUUUCUUUUUGUUGAUACUCUAGGGCCUGGCAUUUUUCUUGAGCUGGUUGUGCCUUGUCAUAGUUUUUGUCUUGCAAAACUUUGCUGUAAGAGCCCUGUAUGCAUUUGAGAGCCUCAAUUGCUAGUCAGUUCUCAGCUUCUUCGAGUUUGUCGUACACAUGGAUGGACAUUGAUUUUUGUGGAAGUCCAUGGUCCAGUUGUUGCUUACAUCCAUAGAAGUGAAUUGUUGCGUCAAGACCGACCAUCCGCCCCUUUUGUGUUGAGUAAACUGCAUUUGGGAGGCCAAGCUUGUGCAUCAUAGCGUUUAGUACUUUUGCUGGAAUCUUCACUUUUUCCAUUGCAGUUGUUAAAUGAUACAAGGAAGAAUGUACUGUUAGAAACUAUAGUCUAUGAUUUUGUAUCUGCUUGUAUGUUCACGAAUCUAUAGAAAGAUAUACCAUUAUCACAGUAACCAAAUUAUAUGUGUUGUGUACCUAUCUGCAAAGAGAGCAGUAGGGCAUUCAAAUCAUGUAUAUGUGACUGAUACUUAAUAGAUACACGACCACAAAAGGAUGCGUAGCACAUAGAUGAUUACCAUAGUCUAAGGCCUAUGUAUGUCUCGUUCUUUAGAGCAAGAACAAAAGGGUUGAGAUAUCACUGAAACUAAAUCUCGACUACACUGCAGAUGAAACAACAUGUGUUUGCUUCAGUGGUCACAUAGGCAUGGCAGUUAGGUUAGACGCAGCAAAAGUAAUUAGAAACGGCCUUUCAUUCUUUCUAGGCAUUGUUCUACUUACUAUAAACAAAAAGGUUGAAAAUAUAGGUUGAUUACAUAGGUAAGCAGUGAGCUGGCGCUGAUGGAUAUCCUCCUUAGCCACAACUGCAAUGGCCACAAAGUGGGGGCUUCAUGAGGGCAAAUGUUCUCGUUAAAACCCGGUACCAAAACUCUAAUGCAGACUGCUUUGCACUAUUUCAGGUGGUGGAUCUGUAGAGAAUCAACAAUAUGACAGGAAACACUAUCAAUUGCAACAUCAACAUAUGUCUUAAUUUUCUCAUGAUCUAAUAGAGUAAGCAAAUAAAAUCUCAGGUAACCACCUGGUACACAAAACAAAGGACAUUUAAAUCCUGAAACCUGGAGAUAUUAGAUAUACAUGGUGUCUUCCACAUAGACCAGGAAGAAAAAUAAUAGUACAUCAGUAGAAGCUAUAUUCUAAUGUAAUACAUGUAAUUUAUAUAUCCUGGAAAUAUAAACAGAAAAAGAAACUGAGCAAUAUACACCAUGCAUGUUCAGAUAAUCAUGCUUAAAGAAAGUGCAAUGCAUACUAUGGAAUCACACAGCCUAAAUCCAUCCUCGUCUAGAAGACUGCAUUAUAACCAUACAUCAAGAAAUUAAUAGAAAAGGGGGUUUGCCCGGAUGACAAAAAAUUGUGUGACAGGCAGCACAGAGUUUUUAUAUUUCCAAGCCAAAAUAUAUUACAAAAAGAUAUUAGAGACAAUGGCUAUGAAGAACUAAGCAUCUAUAUGGAGUGGGGGUGAGAGACGGACCCUUCAACAUUUCACUAUCCACAGUUAUUCCUGAAUGACAUGCAUUCAUUCUUCAUCCUAGAAGCAUCGAUGCUGCACCACGUUGUCAAACGUCAAUGAUUAAUCAAACACAUGUCUAUAAAAAAGUCUGUUUAGAUAUGUUGAUCCUGCAAAAUAAAUAAAUGGGUGGUCAUUAUUAGGAAUUCAUCCUGGGGUUUGCUAAUGAAUGGAAAGCUAUAGUGCAUAGGAUUCUAAAUCCUACAAAGGAUUCUUUCUUUGGGAACAACAUAUGACCACAAAUGUAUGCUUUUUUCCUUCAGCCUGCUUAUGUUCUGGUGUUCACGACAAGUGACCUGCAUUUUCACCCCUAGUGUGGUACCAUUUUGUAUCAGGUAUAUUAAAAAUAAACUGUGUGGUUAGGCUCAUGAUUGCCAAGAACAAUUACGACCUUGGUAGUGUGGCUAUCAACCUGCGAUGGACUAAACAAUACUCUUAUUGUUUCUGUAUAUCCAGGAACUUCAUGAAUUGCAUUUGCGACAGUCAGGUAUUAAUAACCACAUAAGAAUGACACACAAAUAUAAUAUCUUGGUUGCACCAUACAUUUGAAAGAUUAGGUACUUAGCAGGUUCUAGUGGGGAGUGAUGAUUUUGAUCCUUUAUCAGGUGAUUCAAGAGAUUCCUAAAGAAUCAAUACACACAGUUUCAAACCAACAAAGCAGUGCAAAAGAACAAGCGGAAGGUACCUCUUAUGGCAUGUCUUGUCAUGCCAUCGAUUGGUGAAGGUGGCACUGGAGUUCAAACAAUUCCAUCUCUGUGCAUAAUUGCAAUACAUCCUUUCGGCUGAACCAAUCAUGUUUCUGAAGCCCAGGAUGUUGCCACCAAGAGAAUCCUUUUGCAGUUCACGUCAUCAACGAAAUAUCAUAUCCCUUUCUCUUUCAAGUGUAUCAUCAAGUAACCUAUCUUUUCAUUGAUCUUAUUUCCCCAAAUUAAGACUGUCUGAGUGCCUUGCUAUCGCCUACUAAAGGAACUGUUCUGUGGAUUUUAACGAACUGCCUGCAGUACAUAAAAGUUAUAUCAACUUACAUACAAAAAAGGUUAAAUAUCUAUUUCAUGACUACAUUAAUAUUUCCCUCAAGCAAAAACCUAAAUAACCAGUUCUAAGUUUAGCUCAAACUUCGACUGAGUUACUGAGUCACUCAUUGGUCUGUUAAUAGCUUUUAAAUCGCUUAACCGAUCUCAUCAAAUAAACUAUUCUCAAAUACCUAUAGAGAAUUCCCUAUAACUUUAUUUCAGAUGAUUGCGACUAAAACUGUCUCUAACUUUGUUGAAGACAGGUAAACAGAUCUUCUCACAGCCUCGUUAUUACUAAAUAGUAGCAUCGCUUCUGGCUUAACUCCUAAACUACCAAUCAAAUUUCAGUGAAACCAGCACCAUUGGAAACAUAAAAACAAGAGCUACAACUGUUGUUCUAGGAGUACAUCGAAAUUCCGCACAGAUUAUGCCCAGAAUUUGAAAGAAACUUAGUGCUAAUAUAUACUACCUAGCAGCUACGAAUCUGAAUAUAAUUCAACCUUAUCUCAGCACCUGCAUGUGUUUGCUACAAGAGAAAAGAAACAAAAUACGGACAACAUCUGCAGUCUGCUGUGAGCAGAUGCCAACUCCAAUGGGGCUGAACCCGGGUGUCGUCCUCCUCGGUGGUCUGUGAUGCAAGCUUCCUAGGUAAGCAUCUAAGUGUUACAAAUAUACUUGUGUAUUUCUACAGGGACGUAGACAUAUAGUUUUUUUUAGAUAUGUACAUAAUUCAGGGAGGUUUAUGGCUGAUUCAGUUCAAGCAAGUCGCCUUUUCCAUACUUGUUUAGAAGUGUACAUACUUGUUUAAACGUUACUGCAAUCCUCAGGGGAAAUCAGCUAUGCAGACCAAAAAUAUGACAAAUUUAGAAGUGUGUAGUUAUUACGCAAGAAAUCACCAGGAAGAUCAAUUUGGAUAACAUGUUGUUAGUGUUACUUUUCUAUAUAAAAGAACUUAACAAAUAAGAAAUAACCUAGAAGAUACAAAAGGAGGCACGGAUAUAUAUUUAAAAACUAUAGGGAAUGAAAUUGGUCAGCUAUCAACAAAAAGACAGGGAGUGCCCUCAUAAAUUUGAGAACGAGCAUCACAAUAAUCUGAUCACUACAAAAUAUGGUUGUAACUUGUUUUUUCUGCAAUUAAACAACCAAAAGCAGUGCACAAUAUAUAUGGAAAAAACACUGCAUCAUCUCCCAGAAGCAGAAAAAGUUAUAUUAGCCCAUCAUCUGCACUCUAGGUAUAUCAAAAUUAAACUAAGCGAACCUGACACAGCCAAGAGCCGAAUUUUAUCAUGAUAAAUGACAAUAACAUGAGUAACAACCAGAAUAAUUAGUACAACGCUAGUAAAAAUGGAAGACCACAGCUUGGGAAUAGUAGAUGUGAAGUUAUCAAGAAAUUACCUGAAUGCUCCUAUGUGUAGUGAGGGAAACAGACUAAACUGAAGCCUCAUGACCUUAAAAUAUGCAAGUUUAGCAUGUUCUUUUUCAUUCCAAAAACAGUGACAUCAGUUGAUUAACCUCAACUUAAAGAUGGCCCCAAACAGGAAGAAAUAAAAAGAAAGCUAUUACACAAGAAGUUUGGCAACGGAACUGGUAAAUAAUACAUAUGAAUCCUUAUGAGAUAACAAUUAUAUAAACUGUGCCUGAGGAGACUAUAUAGUUGAAGAGAUUCAGUAUGGGGUAUCAAUUUCAUAAGCAUAAGAUAUAUUUACCAAUUGGCGAGCCGCCUAACCCUCCAUGUUCUGAACUGAAGUGCGAUGCAAACAACAUCUACACAAAACCUGAAACACAUUGUCAACAAAUUUUAGUAUCUUACAAAGCCUCCCCAGGAUGAGAUAGAGUUGACAGAGAAGAGUUUCAUACCAAUUGAUAAUUAGCCAGGGGGGCUUGCAUACCUGAAAAGAGCAUAGCAGAGCAAAAGUCCAUACUACUGGAAGAAAAUCUCCAUUUUCUAGUCGAUAUGAACCUAGCUACAAAUCUCCACCGACGGCGGCUGCGCAAGGGAUGAAUUUCAGUGCUUUGGAUAAUUAGUGAAAUUGCAUUUUUAGAAGGAAGCUACAAUUUUCAUGUGCUACAUGACUACAUAUAGAGGGAUACCUGCUUGAUUGCAGCUUUCAGGCUUGCCGACAUCAAUCCCAGGGAGAACUCUCUUUGCGCAACACACCUCAAGCUCAUGUUUUUAUUAUCUCUGCUCAUCCAAAGAAAAUGGGAGCUAUCUGAAACGAAAAUUGAAAUGAAACUGCUCCUGUUCUAGGGUACCACCGAUCAGUAUGCAAAGAAAAGAUACCCAAAAAAAGGAAACUGCUCCUGUUCUAUGGUUCCAGGACAAUCCGUACGCAGAGAAAAGAUCAACCAUAGAUUUCUGGAGAGGACUAACCGACCUUGAAGGCGAUGAUGUUGUUGGGGCCGCUCUCGCGUGGGAGAGUAAGGAGGAGGAGCUGCGCCUGCCCCCUCCCGCGAAGAAGAGGUUGGAGCCCCCUGCGGCUGCUUCUCCCCUACUUCAGAUCGAGGUCGCGCUCGACAGAUCGAGCUCCACCUGCCAUGGCAACGAGGAGAAGAAGGUUCGGAGGUCCCCGAUGGCUGGUGCCUCUAUCCUCGCCGCUCAUCCCUCCAUUGCUGGCCUCCCCUACUGGCCGUCGAGCUGCGGGGGAGGGGGGAGGGGGUGGGGGGAGGGGCGGAGCAGGAGGGGACGUCGGUGGGAGGAGGGGCGGCGAUGGGAGGAGAAGGAGGAGGGCGACGAGGAGGGGGAGGCGAGUGGGACGGCAGGCGGCGGCCAGGGUUUCUCCACGGGAGCGGUUGCGAUUUAUACCCCUGGACAUAAAAAGACCAAAAUGCCCUCGAUGGGGCACAUAAUUUACAGGCGGUGGCACGGCGAUUUAAAGGCGACGUCUAUGGCUUCAUCCUGCCUAGCGGUUCUCCAGGGUUUAUAGGUUAAAUUGCAAUCUUAUAAAUAGUGUUCCUUAGUUCAGUUGUUGCUCAAUAGAACGUCUCAAAAUAUCUUCGAAAGAGUUCAAUCAAUUCUUGCGAGUUAACCCGCCGACAAUGAUUUAUGUUUAUUUGAUACUCUGGGUGCAUAUAUGCAGAAAAUAAAUCGUAUUGGUUGCAGGUUAUGAUGCUAAUAUUGGACAAGGAAGCACUGGUGCAGCUACUGUAAUCUGGAGGGGUCUAUCAUAUUGCCCGUGUCUUCUCUCUCAUGUUGUGACUCGAGGCUGAAGAAACCGAAAUUAUUGCCUGACUGAAGGACUAAAAGCACCGACUACAGUUGUAAUCCAUCCCAUCAUUCAGAUUGUUUGGUUGUUGUUUCUACUUUGAAGAAUGCAGUGCACAAUAAAUCUCGACUUCACAAUAGUGAUGUGGAAACAAGGGAAUAAAUUUGUGAAGAUUGCCAGCAUGAUUCUUAUCGAUUUGGUAAAUUUUAAAACCAUAUAACAAAAAAAAAUCUCAAACAUGUUCUGUCUGGUUUUUGUCGCUAGCUUUUAAACAGUAGAAUAGAUACUCUUGGUAUAGAUUGGCAAGUGUCUGAACUGAACCAGAAAAGAAAAUAUAUUUUGUAUAUACUGAUCAGUGGGUAAGUCAUGCAGGUUGCUCUGGCAAUUAAAAAUCUAGCUAAUGGUCCGGUUAUUCUUGAGGGGCUUUGUUCAUGCAUUUUUGCUUGAAGAAACAUGUCUGCUACUUUGGGAUGGUGCUCCAAUGGUACACCGACACCAUUUUGAGGCCCUUGACAGAAAAUUGAGAGAUAUACUUUCAAUGAACGGCAGCAACAAAAAUGCUCUUCCUUUUGAUAUUCUACAAUAGAAAAAAACUUCUAUGCUACAUUGAUUUGAUCUCUCAUACAAAAACAACAGCCGGACAAAUCACAGCUAAACCGACGAUGGGCAAUUUCACGAGCACGGCAGGCCGCCAUGGCUUCGCACGGCUAGUACAGUUUAGACCGGCAAUGCGUAUGUAUUGCUAUGAUUCAAGUAAGUUGUGUUAUUGUACAAGCAGUGUUUAUGGAUGAAUAUAUAGUUCUACUGUUAUGUUGAUUAUGGUAUUUGUGGCCUUGCUAUGGAAAAAAAUCAGCACAUAUAGAAACCACUAAUGAAAGCUUAUUUCUUUCAUUUUUUUCAUCUCUUACACUUGUUCUCUAUGGUGUGCAUUCUCUUUAUUCGGAUACAACUUGCACAGACAGAAUUCAUGUUGCCAUUCACUACAAGAAAAACUGCAUACGCUGAGUGGUCGGUUGUAUGUUGAGUGUUACUUCAUGGGGUGCUCAGCAUAAAACCCAAUUUGCCGAGCAAAAACUAGAAACACUCAGCAUAAUAUUACCGACUUUCCUUCCUCUUCUUGCCGGUCAACUAUUUCUUUCGCUCUACUGAUAACAUCACACACGAUGCACCACUCUGUCAUAAUGCACACACACACUCCGUAUCCCACUACUUCGGCAAAUCAUUGCCUUGGGUCGCACUUCUAUAGCUACAUGGUCAUGCGCACAACUUCCACCACUCUAGCCGAUCUCGGUCAUGUUUCCCUCGUCGUCGACACUCCCUUUACUUGUCUCGUGGCUCUAUCUGCUCACCCACGGUUGUAUCAUCGAUCGACCACUUUGCCGAGGCAUAUCACUUUGCAUCACUCCUACUUGCACACAUUGUAUAGUUGCCGAGUUUUUCUUAUCUCCAAGUACCAUGCACUAGGACAUCAAUAUGAUCAUAAUGUUGCAGUAUAGCUAGAAAGACAAAAGAAGAGCCAAAAACAACUUUCCGCUGAUUGAGUUGUGCCACGUUACCGAAAAAGCUCACGCCCCACUUUAUAUAUAAAAAAUGUUGUGGUACAUUCAAAAUAAGAUUUCCGCGACCAUGGCCAAGGUUAAAUCAAUCUCGCUUGAAGUUGAACAAGAAAAUUAACACUCAUUUGGCUAACAACAAGGACCACAAACAACAUUUCAAUUUAAAGAACAAACUGACUUUUGUCCUGUUCCGGGGAGAAGCAAGAAUUGGCUUCUAGCCACUAUACGUAAUAAAAAAAUGGUGCAUGAGAGGGGGUAGAGGGGAUGUUACGAAAGUUGCAAUCCACAUGAAAAUGACAGAGGCAUGACAAAGCAAAAUAAAAGAGAUAUGUUAGCUACUCAUAUAUUAUCGCCAACGAAAAAAUAAAUCCUAUGUAGCAACCGGCACACAGUAUUAGAACAACUCAAUUACAAGCAAAAAAUGGUUCUUACGUGUGCGAGUACCAAUUGCCUUAACAAGUUGUACAACUUGAACCCGAAAGAAAUAUUCUUGAACUUAAUCAUUUUACACGUUUGUACCACUAGCACCUAGUUGGCUAGCUACUAGGUACGUGUGUCCCGACUAGUACGACCUGACCUCUUCUCGGCCAAUGAAGAUGAUGCAGUUAUUUUCGUGCCACCAGAUCAAAUGACGAUCGAAGUUCCUCAACAUCGGCAGAGGUAAUCUCGAUCAGAAGAAAUAACAGGCCGCGGACGAUUAUAUCUGACUACCUCAACGCGCGCAUAUGUGCUUCGUAUUUGACCAGUGUAAUUCGUUGAGAUAUAUUUUUUCUAUGAAACUUUCCAAGCUUAGUUAUACCUCAGAGAAGCAAUCGAUCAUGUGCAGGCAGUAUAAAUACACAACGUACGCAUGGUGGCAGUCUAUCUCAUCGUUACAGAUAUAUCUUCCUUGAUUAGUUUUGUAAGCUCUUCAUCAGCGAUGGAGUACUCGACGAAGCUAGUGGUGCUGCUCGUAGCUCUCAUGUUGGCCAUGGCGGUCACGGCCCAAAACUCGGAGCAGGACUUCGUGGACGCCCACAACGCGGCGCGCGCCGACGUGGGCCUUGGGGAGGUGACAUGGGACGCUACGGUGGCAGCCUUCGCGCAGGACUACGCGGAUCAGCGCCGCGGCGACUGCCAGCUGAUCCAUACUCCUGAUGGCCGGCCGUACGGGGAGAACCUCUACGGAGGCGGCGGGACCGAGUGGACGGCGACGGACGCCGUGAAUUCGUGGGUGUCGGAGAAGCAGUACUACGACCACGACAGCAACACCUGCUCGGCGCCCGAGGGUGAGUCGUGCGGGCACUACACGCAGGUGGUGUGGCGCGACUCGACGGCCAUCGGCUGCGCCCGCGUCGUCUGCGACAGCGGCGACGGUGUGUUCAUCAUCUGCAGCUACAACCCGCCAGGCAACUUCCCCGGGGUGAGCCCGUACUAGGCUAUAUGCAUCAUGCAUGCAUGCGAGCGUGCAUGUACGUACGGCGUAUUGCAUAAAUAAAAUGAUUAAGCUCUGAUAACCACAGUGUGAUCAGAUGUGAUAUAUAAUUAACCAGCCGGCCGGAUUUGAGGCCAUAUAUUGUUUAGACCGGCUGUAUAUAUGUACCGUUAUGAUUCAGGUAAUAAGUUGUGUUAUUGUAUAAGCAGUGUUUAUGGAUGAAUAUAUGGUUCUACUAUUAUACUGUGCAUGGUAUAUGUGCCUCCCUGUGAAAAAAACCCAGCACACUUAGAAACCACUAAUCAAAGUGUCUUUCUUCCGUUUUGUCAUCUCGCACUUGUUCUCUAUGUUGUGCAUUUUUUUUCCGGAUCCCAACUCGUAAAACGGAGUAGAUCUCGAGAGGGCACACUAGGUCUUGUUCCUGAGACUCGCGCUCCCUCCUCCACGCCAUAGGCCACUCCCGCCGUGACAGUCACCCAAUCUGCCAUUAUGGCUCACCCAUCCACUCCCAGGUUUCACUCUGGAUCCAGCUCCGGUCGUGGUCCCGUGCAAGCUCGCUCUCGACUAGCGGUCCAUCGUAGGUUCCGGACUCGCUUGCGGCCCAGCCCGUGAAUGCAGUAGAUCUGACCUCGACGCCAUGAAUCCUGCCGCGGGGAGAGUCAUCCAACGCCAUGCAUGCCUAUGGUACUCCAGAUCUGGUGUUGUGAUUGAGCGGCAGUACCUAAAUCCAUCGUGGUCAUCCCCUACGCUCUUGUCAACAUUCCUCUUCGGGCGAGGAGGAAGGAUGGACGAAGAAAUAAUCUCGAAGGAACACACACAAGCAAGGAGCCAUCAAUUAUUAGUGCACACGUACAGCUACACAGCUCGGACCGACACCGGGACAUCAAUGGUGCGCCGGGCCUUGAGGCCUUCUUAAGCUGCUUCAAAGGCCGGAUACUCUGGGUUGCAUCAUUUGCGAGCUGCCAGGGUAUUUCGGCAGAGAGUACCCUCAAAAUCCAUGAAACGGCGGUGUCCGGCGCCGACCUGGGCGCCAAUUCAAGAUCAGGUUCAAACAACCGGGCAAUUACCCCUUCAUCCACCAAAAGAGAUGAAAUGCUUUCACUAUUUGUUCUAGAAGAUAACUUACCGGCGUUUUUGUUAAUUACAAAUGAUUGUGAAGGUGUAUGGUAGGAAGCCAAUAACACUUAGUGUGGAAUAUUUUUAUAAAUGCAAAGUAGAUAAUUAUUGUAUUGGAGAUGCCGGCUUCUUUCAAGUAUUAUAUAAACUAGAUGACCCGUUGCGCCGAUGGCGCAAAAGGCCGAGUGCAAGCCAAGUAUUGAAAGAGUGUGCAUUCAAAUAUGUAGACACAUAAUGAAACAUACAGAAAUAAGUAUGAAUUGAUGAUAGAUAGAUGGUCGUUGCUGAACAUGUUUUCUAAGAAGCUUAUGAACGAUCAUUUACAAUGUUAUGAGUAAGGCAUGUAGAUAGGCAGAGAUACGUUUCACAGAUGUAUCGUUGGACAUUCAGAACGAUUCUCUGAGUCAACUCUUCAUAGUUGCUAUUCUUCAUGGCCUGCAUUGCUCAAAGGAGAAAUUCAUUUGAUGUCAUCGUCGAGUUUCCAAUAAUUGUGGUGUGUUUGCUAGAGAUCAUAUUCAGACUAUGUUGUUGUAUUGCUAAGACGGUCAGCAACAUAUUUUACCUGUGAUAAAACAUGAUUGAGAUUGUUCUCUUUCAAUGUUGAACCAGCUGUGAAGUUUGUAUCUAUUAUGCGAUAAAGUUUCUUUGCUGCCAUGCGAUCUCCAAUGAGGCUAUUGCACCAGCUGUUGCUAAAAUAGUUGAUUAUUCCGUCUUUUCUUUUUGUUGAUACUCUAGGGCCUGGCAUUUUUGUUGAGCUGGUUGUGCCUUGUCAUAGUUUUUGUCUUGCAAAACUUUGCUGUAAGAGCCCUGUAUGCAUUUGAGAGCCUCAGUUGCUAGUCAGUUCUCAGCUUCUUCGAGUUUGUCGUACACAUGGAUGGACAUUGAUUUUUGUGGAAGUCCAUUGUCCAGUUGUUGCUUACAUCCAUAGAAGUGAAUUGUUGCGUCAAGACCGACCGUCCGCCCCUUUUGUGUUGAGUAAACUGCAUUUGGGAGGCCAAGCUUGUGCAUCAUAGCGUCUAGUACUUUUGCUGGAAUCUUCACUCUUUCCAUUGCAGUUGUUAAAUGAUACAAGGAAGAAUGUACUGUUAGAAACUGUAGUCUAUGAUUUUGUAUCUGCUUGUAUGUUCACGAAUCCAUAGAAAGAUAUACCAUUAUCACAGUAACCAAAUUAUAUGUGUUGUGUACCUAUCUGCAAAGAGAGCAGUAGGGCAUUCAAAUCAUGUAUAUGUGACUGAUACUUAAUAGAUACUUGGUAUCAUGAUAGGCUAAAAGGAAGCAAUGAGAUCACCUGAUAAUACCAUACUAUGCAUAACAAAAUAUUUAGAUACAGUUGAUGCAUAACAUUGUAAGAGAGGCAUAAGAUCAAUUUACGAUAGCUUAUUUACAUUGCUUGUAUCAAGAAAGGCACUUAGGUUGAGAUUCAUCAUAUAGACACAUUUGAAUUUGCUAUAUACAUGGAAGGAGGGAGUAUAUAUGAUUGGUAGUGUUAUGAUGAAUAUGUAGCAGUACGAAUACAACUGAGGGAAUACAUCAAUAUUAGGAAGUGCUUGAUUACAUUUAGAAUACACGACCACAAAAGGAUGCGUAGCACAUAGAUGAUUACCAUAGUCUAAGGCCUACGUAUGUCUCGUUCUUUAGAGCAAGAACAAAAGGGUUGAGAUAUCACUGAAACUAAAUCUCGACUACACUGCAGAUGAAACAACAUGUGUUUGCUUCAGUGGUCACAUAGGCAUGGCAGUUAGGUUAGACGCAGCAAAAGUAAUUAGAAACGGCCUUUCAUUCUUUCUAGGCAUUGUUCUACUUACUAUAAACAAAAAGGUUGAAAAUAUAGGUUGAUUACAUAGGUAAGCAGUGAGCUGGCGCUGAUGGAUAUCCUCCUUAGCCACAACUGCAAUGGCCACAAAGUGGGGGCUUCAUGAGGGCAAAUGUUCUCGUUAAAACCCGGUACCAAAACUCUAAUGCAGACUGCUUUGCACUAUUUCAGGUGGUGGAUCUGUAAGAGAAUGAACAAUAUGACAGGAAACACUAUCAAUUGCAACAUCAACAUACGUCUUAAUUUGCUCAUGAUCUAAUAGAGUAAGCAAAUAAAAUCUCAGGUAACCACCUGGUACACAAAACAAAGGACAUUUAAAUCCUGAAACCUGGAGAUAUUAGAUAUACAUGGUGUCUUCCACAUAGACCAGGAAGAAAAAUAAUAGUACAUCAGUAGAAGCUAUAUUCUAAUGUAAUACAUGUAAUAUAUCCAGGAAAUAUAAACAGAAAAAGAAACUGAGCAAUAUACACCAUGCAUGUUCAGAUAAUCAUGCUUAAAGGAAGUGCAAUGCAUACUAUGGAAUCACACAGCCUAAAUCCAUCCUCGUCUAGAAGACUGCAUUAUAACCAUACAUCAAGAAAUUAACGGAAAAGGGGAUUUGCCCGGAUGACGAAAAAUCGUGUGAUAGGCAGCACAGAGUUUUUAUAUUUCCAAGCCAAAAUAUAUUACAAAAAGAUAUUAGAGACAAUGGCUAUGAAGAACUAAGAAUCUAUAUGGAGUGGGGGUGAGAGACGGACCCUUCAACAUUUCACUGUCCACAGUUAUUCCUGAAUGACAUGCAUUCAUUCUUCAUCCUAGAAGCAUCGAUGCUGCACCACGUUGUCAAACGUCAAUGAUUAAUCAAACACAUGUCUAUAAAAAAGUCUGUUUAGAUAUGUUGAUCCUGCAAAAUAAAUAAAUGGGUGGUCAUUAUUAGGAAUGCAUCCUGGGGUUUGCUAAUGAAUGGAAAGCUAUAGUGCAUAGGAGUCUAAAUGCUACAAAGGAUUCUUUCUUUGGGAACAACAUAUGACCACAAAUGUAUGCUUUUUUCCUUCAGCCUGCUUAUGUUCUGGUGUUCACGACAAGUGACCUGCAUUUUCACCCCUAGUGUGGUACCAUUUUGUAUCAGGUAUAUUAAAAAUAAACUGUGUGGUUAGGCUCAUGAUUGCCAAGAACAAUUACGACCUUGGUAGUGUGGCUAUCAACCUGCGAUGGACUAAACAAUACUCUUAUUGUUUCUGUAUAUCCAGGAACUUCAUGAAUUGCAUUUGCGACAGUCAGGUAUUAAUAACCACAUAAGAAUGACACACAAAUAUAAUAUCUUGGUUGCAUCAUACAUUUGAAAGAUUAGGUACCUAGCAGGUUCUAGUGGGGAGUGAUGAUUUUGAUCCUUUAUCAGGUGAUUCAAGAGAUUCCUAAAGAAUCAAUACACACAAAUUCAAACCAACAAAGCAGUGCAAAAGAACAAGCAGAAGGUACCUCUUAUGGCAUGUCUUGUCAUGCCAUCGAUUGGUGAAGGUGGCACUGGAGUUCAAACAAUUCCAUCUCUCUGCAUAAUUGCAAUACAUCCUUUCGGCUGAACCAAUCAUGUUUCUGAAGCCCGGGAUGUUGCCACCAAGAGCAUCCUUUUGCAGUUCACGUCAUCAACGAAAUAUCAUAUCCCUUUCUCUUUCAAGUGUAUCAUCAGGUAACCUAUCUUUUCAUUGAUCUUAUUUCCCCAAAUUAAGACUGUCUGAGUGCCUUGCUAUCGCCUACUAAAGGAACUGUUCUGUGGAUUUUAACGAACUGCCUGCAGUACAUAAAAGUUAUAUCAACUUACAUACAAAAAAGGUUAAAUAUCUAUUUCAUGACUACAUUAAUAUUUCCCUCAAGCAAAAACCUAAAUAACCAGUUCUAAGUUUAGCUCAAACUUCGACUGAGUUACUGAGUCACUCAUUGAUCUGUUAAUAGCUUUUAAAUCGCUUAACCAAUCUCAUCAAAUAAACUAUUCUCAAAUACCUAUAGAGAAUUCCCUAUAACUUUAUUUCAGAUGAUUGCGACUAAAACUGUCUCUAACUUUGUUGAAGACAGGUAAACAGAUCUUCUCACAGCCUCGUUAUUACUAAACAGUAGCAUCGCUUCUGGCUUAACUCCUAAACUACCAAUCAAAUUUCAGUGAAACCAGCACCAUUGGAAACAUAAAAACAAGAGCUACAACUGUUGUUCUAGGAGUACAUCGAAAUUCCGCACAGAUUAUGCCCAGAACUUGAAAGAAACUUAGUGCUAAUAUAUACUACCUAGCAGCUACGAAUCUCAAUAUAAUUCGACCUUAUCUCAGCACCUGCAUGUGUUUGCUACAAGAGAAAAGAAACAAAAUACGGACAACAUCUGCAGUCUGCUGUGAGCAGAUGCCAACUCCAACGGGGCUGAACCCGGGUGUCGUCCUCCUCGGUGGUCUGUGAUGCAAGCUUCCUAGGUAAGCAUCUAAGUGUUACAAAUAUACUUGUGUAUUUCUACAGGGACGUAGACCUAUAGUUUUUUUUAGAUGUGUACAUAAUUAAGGGAGGUUUAUGGUUGAUUCAGUUCAAGCAAGUCGCCUUUUCCAUACUUGUUUAGAAGUGUACAUACUUGUUUAAACGUUACUGCAAUCCUCAGGGGAAAUCAGCUAUGCAGACCAAAAAUAUGACAAAUUUAGAAGUGUGUAGUUAUUACCAAAGCAAUCACCAGGAAGAUCAAUUUGGAUAACAUGUUGUUAGUGUUACUUUUCUAUAUAAAAGAACUUAGCAAAUAAGAAAUAACCUAGAAGAUACAAAAGGAGGCACGGAUAUAUAUUUAAAAACUAUAGGGAAUGAAAUUGGUCAGCUAUCAACAAAAAGACAGGGAGUGCCCUCAUAAAUUUGAGAACGAGCAUCACAAUAAUCUGAUCACUACAAAAUAUGGUUGUAACUUGUUUUUUCUGCAAUUAAACAACCAAAAGCAGUGCACAAUAUAUAUGGAAAAAACACUGCAUCAUCUCCCAGAAGCAGAAAAAGUUAUAUUAGCCCAUCAUCUGCACUCUAGGUAUAUCAAAAUUAAACUAAGCGAACCUGACACAGCCAAGAACCGAAUUUUAUCAUGAUAAACGACAAUAACAUGAGUAACAACCAGAAUAAUUAGUACAACGCCAGUACAAAUGGAAGACCACAGCUUGGGAAUAGUAGAUGUGAAGUUAUCAAGAAAUUACCUGAAUGCUCCUAUGUGUAGUGAGGGAAAUAGACUAAAUUGAAGCCUCAUGACCUUAAAAUAUGCAAGCUUAGCAUGUUCUUUUUCAUUCCAAAAACAGUGACAUCAAUUGAUUAACCUCAACUUAAAGAUGGCCCCAAACAGGAAGAAAUAAAAAGAAAGCUAUCACACAAGAAGUUUGGCAACCGAACUGGUAAAUAAUACAUAUGAAUCCUUAUGAGAUAACAACUAUAUAAACUCUGCCUGAGGAAACUAUAUAGUUGAAGAGAUUCAGUACAGGGUAUCAAUUGCAUAAGCAUAAGAUAUAUUUACCAAUUGGCGAGCCGCCUAACCCUCCAUGUUCUGAACUGAAGUGCGAUGCAAACAACAUCUACACAAAACCUGAAACACAUUGUCAACAAAUUUCAGUAUCUUACAAAGCCUCCCCAGGAUGAGAUAGAGUUGACAGAGAAGAGUUUCAUACCAAUUGAUAAUUAGCGAGGGGGGCUUGCAUACCUGAAAAGAGCAUAGCAGAGCAAAAGUCCAUACUACUGGAAAAAAAUCUCCAUUUUCUGGUCGAUAUGAACCUGGCUACAAAUCUCCACCGACGGCGGCUACGCAAGGGAUGAAUUUCAGUGCUUUGGAUAAUUAGUGAAAUUGCAUUUUUAGAAGGAAGCUACAAUUUUCAUGUGCUACAUGACUACAUACAGAGGGAUACCUACUUGAUUGCAGCUUUAAGGCUUGCCGACAUCAAUCCCAGGGAGAACUCUCUUUGCGCAACACACCUCAAGCUCAUGUUUUUAUUAUCUCUGCUCAUCCAAAGAAAAUGAGAGCUAUCUGAAACGAAAAUUGAAAUGAAACUGCUCCUGUUCUAGGGUACCACCGAUCUGUUGGAAAUAUGCCCUAGAGGCAAUAAUAAAAGUAUUAUUAUAUUUCAUUGUUCAUGAUAAUUGUCUUGUAUUCAUGCUAUAACUGUAUUAUCCGGAAAUCGUAAUACACGUGUGAAUACUUAGACCACACUAAGUCCCUGGUAAGCCUCUAGUUGACCAGCUCGUUGUGAUCAACAGAUAGUCAUGGUUUCCUGACUAUGGACAUUGGAUGUCGUUGAUAACGGGAUCACAUCAUUAGGAGAAUGAUGUGAUGGACAAGACCCAAUCCUAAGCAUAGCAUAAAAGAUCGAGUAGUUCGUUUUGCUAGAGCUUUGCAAGUGUCAAGUAUCUCUUCCUUCGACCAUGAGAUCGUGUAACUCCCGGAUACCGUAAGAAUGCCUUGGGUGUACCAAACGUCACAACGUAACUGGGUGACUAUAAAGGUACAUUACAGGUAUCUCCGAAAGUAGCUGUUGGGUUGACACGGAUCGAGACUGGGAUUUGUCACUCCGUAUGACGGAGAGGUAUCUCUGGGCCCACUCGGUAAUGCAUCAUCAUAUUGAGCUCAAUGUGACCAAGGUGUUGGACACGGGAUCAUGCAUUACGGUACGAGUAAAGUGACUUGCCGGUAACGAGACUGAACAAGGUAUUGGGAUACCGACGAUCGAGUCUCGGGCAAGUAACGUACCGAUUGACAAAGGGAAUUGCAUACAAGGUUUGAUCGAAUCCUCGACAUAGUGGUUCAUCCGAUGACAACAUCGAGGAGCAUGUGGGAGCCAUCAUGGGUAUCCAGAUCCCGCUGAUGGUUAUUGACUAAGAGAGUCUCGGUCAUGUCUGCAUGUCUCCCGAACCCGUAGGGUCUACACACUUAAGGUUCAGUUACGCUAGGGUUAUAGGGAUAUGUAUAUGCAGUAACCCGAAUGUUGUUCGGAGUCCCGGAUGAGAUCCCGGACGUCACGAGGAGUUCCGGAAUGGUCCGGAGGUAAAGAUUUAUAUAUGGGAAGUCCUGUUUCGGGCAUCGGGACAAGUUUCGGGGUUAUCGGUAUUGUACCGGGACCACCGGAAGGGUCCCGGGGGUCCACCGGGUGGGUCCACCUGUCCCGGGGGGCCACAUGGGCUGUAAGGGGGUGCGCCUUGGCCUAAUGGGCCAAGGGCACCAGCCCCACAUAGGCCCAUGCGCCUAGGGUUCAAGGGGGGCAAGAGUCCUAGGAGGGUAAGGCACCUCCUAGGUGCCUUGGGGGGAGGGAAAACCCCCCUUGGCCGCCGCACCCCCUAGGAGAUUUGAUCUCCUAGGGCCGGCCACCCCCCCUUGGCACCCCUAUAUAUAGUGGGGGGAGAAGAGGGACUUCAUACCUGAACGCCCUGGCCUUUGGUUGCCUCCUUCUCCCUCCCCAACACCUCCUCCACCUCCAUAGUGCUUAGCGAAGCUCUGCCGGAGUACUGCAGCUCCACCAACACCACGCCGUCGUGCUGCUGCUGGUGCCAUCUCCCUCAACCUCUCCUCCCUUCCUUGCUGGAUCAAGAAGGAGGAGACGUGGCUGUUCCGUACGUGUGUUGAACGCGGAGGUGCCGUCCGUUCGGCGCAGGUCAUCGGUGAUUUGGAUCACGUCGAGUACGACUACAUCAUCACCUUGCAAGCUUCCGCACGCGAUCUACAAGUGGUAUGUAGAUGCAAACUCUCUCCCUAGACUCGUUGCUUAGAUGAACUCAUAGAUGGAUCUUGGUGAAACCGUAGGAAAAUUUUUAAUUUUCUGCAACGUUCCCCAACAGUGGCAUCAUGAGCUAGGUCUAUACGUAGUUCUCUUUGCACGAGUAGAACACAACUUUGUUGUGGGCGUGGAUUUUGUCAUCUUACUUGCCUCUACUAGUCCUUUCUUGCUCAACGGUAUUGUGGGAUGAAGCGGCCCGGACCAACCUUACACGUACACUUACGUGAGACCGGUUCCACCGACUGACAUGCACAAGUUGCAUAAGGUGGUUGGCGGGUGUCUGUCUCUCCCACCUUAGUUGGAGCGGAAUCGAUGAACAGGGCCCUUAUGAAGGGUAAAUAGAAGUUGACAAAAUCACGUUGUGGUGAUUCGUAGGUAAGAAAACGUUCUUGCUAGAACCCAAUUGCAGCCACGUAAAAGAUGCAACAACAAUUAGAGGACGUCUAACUUGUUUUUGCAGCGAUUGAUCAUGUGAUGUGAUAUGGCCAGAAGUUGUGAUGAAUGAUGAAUUGUGAUGUAUGAGAUCAUGUUCUUUGUAAUAGGAUUCACGACUUGCAUGUCGAUGAGUAUGACAACCGGCAGGAGCCAUAGGAGUUGUCAUUAUUUUUUGUAUGACCUGCGUGUCAUUGAAUAACGUCAUGUAAACUACUUUACUUUAUUGCUAAACGUUAGUCAUAAAAGUAGAAGUAGUCGAUGGCGUGACAACUUCAUGAAGACACGAUGAUGGAGAUCAUGAUGAUGGAGAUCAUGGUGUCAAGCCGGUGACAAGAUGAUCAUGGAGCCCCGAAGAUGAAGAUCAAUGGAGCUAUAUGAUAUUGGCCAUAUCAUGUCACAACUAUAUAAUUGCAUGUGAUGUUUAUUAUGUAUUAUGCAUCUUGUUUACUUAGGACGACGGUAGUAAAUAAGAUGAUCCCUUAUAAAAUUUCAAGAAGUGUUCUCCCCUAACUGUGCACCGUUGCUACAGUUCGUCGUUUCUAAGCACCACGUGAUGAUCGGGUGUGAUGGAUUCUUACGUUCACAUACAACGGGUGUAAGACAGUUUUACACAGCGAAAACACUUAGGGUUAACUUGACGAGCCUAGCAUGUGCAGACAUGGCCUCGGAACACGGAGACCGAAAGGUCGAACACGAGUCGUAUAGAAGAUACGAUCAACAUGAAAAUGUUCACCGACGAUGACUAGUCCGUCUCACGUGAUGAUCGGACACGGGCUAGUCGACUCGGAUCGUGUAACACUUAGAUGACUAAAGGGAUGUCUAAUCUGAGUGGGAGUUCAUAAUUUGAUUAGAACUUAAUUAUCAUGAACUUAGUCUAAAACCUUUGCAAAUAUGUCUUGUAGAUCAAAUGGCCAACGCUCAUGUCAACAUGAACUUCAACGCGUUCCUAGAGAAAACCAAGCUGAAAGAUGAUGGCAGCAACUAUACGGACUGGGUCCGGAACCUGAGGAUCAUCCUCAUAGCUGCCAGGAAACAAUAUGUCCUAGAAGGACCGCUAGGUGACGCUCCCGUCCCAGAGAACCAAGACAUUAUGAAUGCUUGGCAGUCUCGCGCUGAUGAUUACUCCCUCGUUCAGUGCGGCAUGCUUUACAGCUUAGAACCGGGGCUCCAAAAGCGUUUUGAGCAUCACGGAGCAUAUGAGAUGUUCGAAGAGCUGAAACUAGUUUUUCAAGCUCAUGCCCGGGUCGAGAGAUAUGAUGUCUCCGACAAGUUCUACAGUUGUAAGAUGGAGGAAAACAGUUCUGUCAGUGAGCACAUCCUGAAGAUGUCUGGAUUGCACAACCGUAUGACCCAGCUGAACAUUAACCUCCUAGAUGAGGCGGUCAUUGACAGAAUCCUCCAGUCGCUCCCACCAAGCUACAAGAGCUUUCUGAUGAACUACAACAUGCAGGGGAUGGAAAAGACCAUUCCUGAAGUGUUCUCGAUGCUGAAGUCAGCAGAGGCUGAAAUCAAGAAAGAACAUCAAGUGUUGAUGGUCAAUAAGACCACUAAGUUCAAGAAGGGCAAGGGUAAGAAGAACUUCAAGAAGGACGGCAAAGAUGUUGCCGCGCCUGGUAAGCCAGUUACCGGGAAGAAGUCAAAGAAUGGACCCAAGCCUGAGACUGAGUGCUUUUAUUGCAAGGGGAAGGGUCACUGGAAGCGGAACUGCCCCAAAUACUUAGCGGAUAAGAAGGCCGGCAACACCAAAGGUAUAUUUGAUAUACAUGUGAUUGAUGUGUACCUUACCAGUACUCGUAGUAACUCCUGGGUAUUUGAUACCGGUGCCGUUGCUCAUAUUUGUAACUCACAGCAGGAGCUGCGGAAUAAACGGAGACUGGCGAAGGACGAGGUGACGAUGCGCGUCGGGAAUGGUUCCAGAGUCGAUGUGAUCGCCGUCGGCACGCUGCCUCUACAUUUACCUACGGGAUUAGUUUUGAACCUUAAUAAUUGUUAUUUAGUGCCAAGUUUGAGCAUGAACAUUGUAUCUGGAUCUCGUUUAAUACGAGAUGGCUACUCAUUUAAGUCUGAGAAUAAUGAUUGUUUGAUUUAUAUGAGAGAUAUGUUUUAUGGUCAUGCUCCGAUGGUCAAUGGUUUAUUCUUAAUGAAUCUCGAGCGUAAUAUUACACAUGUUCAUAGUGUAGAUGCCAAAAGAUUUAAAGUUGAUAACGAUAGUCCCACAUUCUUGUGGCACUGCCGCCUUGGUCACAUUGGUGUCAAGCGCAUGAAGAAGCUCCAUGCCGAUGGACUUUUAGAGUCUCUUGAUUAUGAAUCGUUUGACACGUGCGAACCAUGCCUUUUGGGCAAAAUGACCAAGACUCCGUUCUCCGGAACAAUGGAGCGAGCAACCAACUUGUUGGAAAUCAUACAUACCGAUGUGUGCGGUCCAAUGAGCGUUGAGGCUCGCGGAGGAUAUCGUUAUGUUCUCACUCUCACAGAUGACUUGAGUAGAUAUGGGUAUGUCUACUUAAUGAAACACAAGUCUGAGACCUUUGAAAAGUUCAAGGAAUUUCAGAAUGAGGUAGAGAAUCAACGUGACCGAAAGAUAAAAUUCUUACGAUCAGAUCGUGGAGGAGAAUACUUAAGUCACGAAUUUGGUACACACUUAAAGAAAUGUGGAAUCGUUUCACAGCUCACGCCGCCUGGAACACCUCAGCGAAACGGUGUGUCCGAACGUCGUAAUCGCACUCUAUUGGAUAUGGUGCGGUCUAUGAUGUCUCUUACCGAUUUACCGCUAUCAUUUUGGGGAUACGCUCUAGAGACAGCAACAUUCACUUUAAAUAGGGCACCGUCUAAAUCCGUUGAGACGACACCGUAUGAAUUAUGGUUUGGAAAGAAACCUAAGCUGUCGUUUCUAAAAGUUUGGGGAUGCGAAGCUUAUGUCAAGAAACUUCAACCUGAAAAGCUCGAACCCAAGUCGGAAAAAUGCGUAUUCAUAGGAUACCCUAAGGAAACUAUAGGGUAUACCUUCUACUUAAGAUCCGAAGGCAAGAUCUUUGUUGCCAAGAACGGAUGCUUUCUGGAAAAAGAGUUUCUCUCGAAAGAAGUAAGUGGGAGGAAAGUAGAACUCGAUGAAGUACUACCUCUUGAGCGGGAUAGUGACGCAGCACAGGAAACCAUUCCUGUGAUGCCCACACCAACUGAAGAGGAAAACCAUGAUAAUGAUCAAGGUACUUCGGAUCAAGUUACUGCUGAACUUCAUAGGUUCACAAGAACACGUUCCGCACCAGAGUGGUACGGCAACCCUGUCCUGGAAAUCAUGUUGUUAGACAAUAAUGAACCUUCGAACUAUGAAGAAGCAAUGACGGGCCCGGAUUCCAACAAAUGGCUUGAAGCCAUGAAAUCCGAGAUAGAAUCCAUGUAUGAAAACAAAGUAUGGACUUUGACAGACUUGCCCGAUGAUCGGCGAGCGAUAGAAAACAAAUGGAUCUUUAAGAAGAAGACGGACGCGGAUGGUAAUGUUACCAUCUAUAAAGCUCGACUUGUCGCUAAGGGUUAUCGACAGGUUCAAGGGAUUGACUACGACGAGACAUUCUCUCCCGUAGCGAAGCUAAAGUCCGUCCGAAUCAUGUUAGCAAUUGCCGCAUACUAUGAUUAUGAGAUAUGGCAGAUGGACGUCAAAACAGCAUUCCUUAACGGGCAUCUUAAGGAAGAACUGUAUAUGAUGCAGCCGGAAGGUUUUGUCGAUCCUCAGAACGCUAGCAAAGUAUGCAAGCUCCAGCGAUCCAUUUAUGGACUGGUGCAAGCAUCUCGGAGUUGGAACAUUCGCUUUGAUGAGAUGAUCAAAGCGUUUGGGUUUAUGCAGACUUAUGGAGAAGCCUGCGUUUACAAGAAAGUGAGUGGGAGCUCUGUAGCAUUUCUCAUAUUAUAUGUAGAUGACAUACUCCUGAUGGGAAAUAAUAUAGAAUUUCUGGACAGCAUUAAGGCCUACUUGAAUAAGUGUUUUUCAAUGAAGGACCUUGGAGAAGCUGCUUAUAUAUUAGGCAUCAAGAUCUAUAGAGAUAGAUCGAGACGCCUCGUAGGUCUUUCACAAAGUACAUACCUUGAUAAGAUUUUGAAGAGAUUCAGAAUGGAUCAGUCCAAGAAGGGGUUCUUGCCUAUGUUACAAGGUAUGAGACUGAGCUCAGCUCAGUCACCGACCACGGCAAAAGAUAAAGAAGAGAUGAGUGUCAUCCCCUAUGCUUCAGCCAUAGGAUCUAUUAUGUAUGCCAUGCUGUGUACCAGACCCGAUGUAAACCUUGCCGUAAGUUUGGUAGCAAGAUACCAAAGUAAUCCCGGCAAGGAACACUGGACAGCGGUCAAGAAUAUCCUGAAGUACCUGAAAAGGACAAAGGACAUGUUUCUCGUUUAUGGAGGAGACGAAGAGCUCGUCGUAAAGGGUUACGUCGACGCUAGCUUCGACUCAGAUCCGGAUGACUCUAAGUCACAAACCGGAUACGUGUAUAUGUUGAAUGGUGGAGCAAUAAGCUGGUGCAGCUGCAAGCAGAGCGUCGUGGCGGGAUCUACGUGUGAAGCGGAGUACAUGGCAGCCUCGGAGGCAGCACAUGAAGCGAUUUGGGUGAAGGAGUUCAUCACCGACCUAGGAGUCAUACCCAAUGCGUCGGGGCCGAUCAAACUCUUCUGUGACAACACUGGAGCUAUUGCCCUCGCAAAGGAGCCCAGGUUUCACAAGAAGACCAGGCACAUCAAGUGUCGUUUCAACUCCAUCCGUGAAAAUGUUCAAGAUGGAGACAUAGAGAUUUGCAAAGUGCACACGGAUCUGAAUGUCGCAGAUCCACUGACUAAACCUCUCUCGCGUGCAAAACAUGAUCAACACCAGAACUCUAUGGGUGUUCGAUUCAUCACAAUGUAACUAGAUUAGUGACUCUAGUGCAAGUGGGAGACUGUUGGAAAUAUGCCCUAGAGGCAAUAAUAAAAGUAUUAUUAUAUUUCAUUGUUCAUGAUAAUUGUCUUGUAUUCAUGCUAUAACUGUAUUAUCCGGAAAUCGUAAUACACGUGUGAAUACUUAGACCACACUAAGUCCCUGGUAAGCCUCUAGUUGACCAGCUCGUUGUGAUCAACAGAUAGUCAUGGUUUCCUGACUAUGGACAUUGGAUGUCGUUGAUAACGGGAUCACAUCAUUAGGAGAAUGAUGUGAUGGACAAGACCCAAUCCUAAGCAUAGCAUAAAAGAUCGAGUAGUUCAUUUUGCUAGAGCUUUGCAAGUGUCAAGUAUCUCUUCCUUCGACCAUGAGAUCGUGUAACUCCCGGAUACCGUAAGAAUGCCUUGGGUGUACCAAACGUCACAACGUAACUGGGUGAUUAUAAAGGUACAUUACAGGUAUCUCCGAAAGUAGCUGUUGGGUUGACACGGAUCGAGACUGGGAUUUGUCACUCCGUAUGACGGAGAGGUAUCUCUGGGCCCACUCGGUAAUGCAUCAUCAUAUUGAGCUCAAUGUGACCAAGGUGUUGGACACGGGAUCAUGCAUUACGGUACGAGUAAAGUGACUUGCCGGUAACGAGACUGAACAAGGUAUUGGGAUUCCGACGAUCGAGUCUCGGGCAAGUAACGUACCGAUUGACAAAGGGAAUUGCAUACAGGGUUUGAUCGAAUCCUCGACAUAGUGGUUCAUCCGAUGAAAACAUCGAGGAGCAUGUGGGAGCCAUCAUGGGUAUCCAGAUCCCGCUGAUGGUUAUUGACUAAGAGAGUCUCGGUCAUGUCUGCAUGUCUCCCGAACCCGUAGGGUCUACACACUUAAGGUUCAGUCACGCUAGGGUUGUAGGGAUAUGUAUAUGCAGUAACCCGAAUGUUGUUCGGAGUCCCGGAUGAGAUCCCGGACGUCACGAGGAGUUCCGGAAUGGUCCGGAGGUAAAGAUUUAUAUAUAGGAAGUGCUAUUUCGGGCACCGGGACAAGUUUUGGGGUUAUCGGUAUUGUACCGGGACCACCGGAGGGGUCCCGGGGGUCCACCGGGUGGGGCCACCUGUCCCGGGGGGCCACAUGGGCUGUAGGGGGUGCGCCUUGGCCAUCAUGGGCCAAGGGCACCAGCCCCUAUAGGCCCAUGCGCCUAGGGUUUCCCCCUAGGAGGAGUCCUAGUGGUGGAAGGCACCCCUAGGUGCCUUGGGGGGGAGGGAAACCUCCCUAGGCCGCCGCCCCCCCUAGUAGAUCUCAUCUACUAGGGCCGGCCACCCCCCCUUGGCACCCCUAUAUAUAGUGGGGGGAGAGGAGGGACUUCAUACCUUGAGCCCUGGCCUUUGGUUGCCUUCUUCUCCCUCCCCAACACCUCCUCCAACUCCUUAUAGCUUAGCGAAGCUCUGCCGGAGUACUGCAGCUCCACCAACACCACGCCGUCGUGCUGCUGCUGGUGCCAUCUCCCUCAACCUCUCCUCCCUCCCUUGCUGGAUCAAGAAGGAGGAGACGUGGCUGUUCCGUACGUGUGUUGAACGCGGAGGUGCCGUCCGUUCGGUGCUAAGGUCAUCGGUGAUUUGAAUCACGUCGAGUACGACUACAUCAUCACCUUGCAAGCUUCCGCACGCGAUCUACAAGUGGUAUGUAGAUGCAAACUCUCUCCCUAGACUCGUUGCUUAGAUGAACUCAUUGAUGGAUCUUGGUGAAACCGUAGGAAAAAUUUUAAUUUUCUGCAACGUUCCCCAACACGAUCAGUAUGCAAAGAAAAGAUGCCCCAAAAAAGGAAACUACUCCUGUUCUAUGGUUCCAGGACAAUCCGUACGCAGAGAAAAGAUCAACCAUAGAUUUCUGGAGAGGACUAACCGACCUUGAAGGCGAUGAUGUUGUUGGGGCCGCUCUCGUGUGGGAGAGUAAGGAGGAGGAGCUGCGCCUGCCCCCUCCCGUGAAGAAGAGGUUGGAGCCCCCUGCGGCUGCUUCUCCCCUACUUCAGAUCGAGGUCGCGCUCGACAGAUCGAGCUCCACCUGCCGUGGCGACGAGGAGAAGAUGGUUCGAAGGUCCCCGAUGGCCGGUGCCUCUAUCCUCGCCGCUCAUCCCUCCAUUGCUGGCCUCCCCUACUGGCCGNNNNNNNNNNNNNNNNNNNNNNNNNNNNNNNNNNNNNNNNNNNNNNNNNNNNNNNNNNNNNNNNNNNNNNNNNNNNNNUGGGAGGGGACGUCGGUGGGAGGAGGGGCGGCGAUGGGAGGAGAAGGAGGAGGGCGACGAGGAGGGGGAGGCGAGUGGGACGGGAGGCGGCGGCCAGGGUUUCUCCACGGGAGUGGUUGCGAUUUAUACCCCUGGACGUAAAAAGACCAAAAUGCCCUCGGUGGGGCACAGAAUUUACAGGCGGUGGCACGGCGAUUUAAAGGCGACGUGUAUGGCUUCAUCCUGCCUAGCGGUUCUCCAGGGUUUAUAGGUUAAAUUGCAAUCUUAUAAAUAGUGUUCCUUAGUUCAGUUGUUGCUCAAUAGAACAUCUCAAAAUAUCUUCGAAAGAGUUCAAUCAAUUCUUGCGAGUUAACCCGCCGACAAUGAUUUAUGUUUAUUUGUUACUCUGGGUGCAUAUAUGCAGAAAAUAAAUCGUAUUGGUUGCAGGUUAUGAUGCUAAUAUUGGACAAGGAAGCACUGGUGCAGCUAUUGUAAUCUGGAGGGGUCUAUCAUAUUGCCCGUGUCUUCUCUCUCAUGUUGUGACUCGAGGCUGAAGAAACCGAAAUUAUUGCCUGACUGAAGGACUAAAAGUACCGACUACAGUUGUAAUCCAUCCCAUCAUUCAGAUUGUUUGGCUGUUGUUUCUACUUUGAAGAAUGCAGUGCACAAUAAAUCUCGACUUCACAAUAGUGAUGUAGAAACAAGGGAAUAAAUUUGUGAAGAUUGCCAGCAUGAUUCUUAUCGACUUGGUAAAUUUUAAAACCAUAUAACAAAAAAAAAAUCUCAAACAUGUUGUGUCUGGUUUUUGUCGCUAGCUUUUAAACAGUAGAAUAGAUACUCUUGGUAUAGAUUGGCAAGUGUCUGAACUGAACCAGAAAAGAAAAUAUAUUUUGUAUAUACUGAUCAGUGGGUAAGUCAUGCAGGUUGCUCUGGCAAUUAAAAAUCUAGCUAAUGGUCCGGUUAUUCUUGAGGGGCUUUGUUCAUGCAUUUUUGCUUGAAGAAACAUGUCUGCUACUUUGGGAUGGUGCUUUUGCUUGAAGAAACAUGUCUGCUACUUUGGGAUGGUGCUCCAAUGGUACACCGACACCAUUUUGAGGCCCUUGACAGAAAAUUGAGAGAUAUACUUUCAAUGAACGGCAGCAACAAAAAUGCUCUUCCUUUUGAUAUUCUACAAUAGAAAAAAACUUCUAUGCUACAUUGAUUUGAUCUCUCAUACAAAAACAACAGCUGGACGAAUCACAGCUAAACCGACGAUGGGCAAUUUCACGAGCACGGCAGGCCGCCGCGGCUUCGCACGGCUAGUACAGUUUAGACCGGCAAUGGGUGUGUAUUGCUAUGAUUCAAGUAAGUUGUGUUAUUGUACAAGCAGUGUUUAUGGAUGAAUAUAUAGUUCUACUAUUAUGUUGAUUAUGGUAUUUGUGGCCUUGCUAUGGAAAAAAAUCAGCACAUAUAGAAACCACUAAUGAAAGCUUAUUUCUUUCAUUUUUUUCAUCUCUUACACUUGUUUUCUAUGGUGUGCAUUCUCUUUAUUCGGAUACAACUUGCACAGACAGAAUUCAUGUUGCCAUUCACUACAAGAAAAACUGCAUACGCUGAGUGGUCGGUUGUAUGUUGAGUGUUACUUCAUGGGGUGCUCAGCAUAAAACCCAAUUUGCCGAGCAAAAACUAGAAACACUCAGCAUAAUAUUACCGACUUUCCUUCCUCUUCUUGCCGGUCAACUAUUUCUUUCGCUCUACUGAUAACAUCACACACGAUGCACCACUCUGUCAUAAUGCACACACACACUCCGUAUCCCACUACUUCGGCAAAUCAUUGCCUUGGGUCCCACUUCUAUAGCUACAUGGUCAUGCGCACAACUUCCACCACUCCAGCCGAUCUCAGUCAUGUUUCCCGUCGUCUUCGACACUCCCUUUACUUGUCUCGUGCCUCUAUCUGCUCACCCACGGUUGUAUCAUCGAUCGACCACUUUGCCGAGGCAUAUCACUUUGCAUCACUCCUACUUGCACACAUUGUAUAGUUGCCGAGUUUUUCUUAUCUCCAAGUACCAUGCACUAGGACAUCAAUAUGAUCAUAAUGUUGCAGUAUAGCUAGAAAGACAAAAGAAGAGCCAAAAACAACUUUCCGCUGAUUGAGUUGUGCCACGUUACCGAAAAAGCUCACGCCCCACUUUAUAUAUAAAGCAUGUUGUGGUACGUUCAAAAUAAGAUUUCGGCGACCAUGGCCAAGGUUAAAUCAAUCUCGCUUGAAGUUGAACAAGAAAAUUAACACUCAUUUGGCUAACAACAAGGACCACAAACAACAUUCCAAUUUAAAGAACAAACUGACUUUUGUCCUGUUCUGAGAAGAAGCACGAAUUGGCUUCUAGCCACUAUACGUAAUAAAAAAAUGGUGCAUGGGAGGGGGGUAGGGGGGAUGUUACGAAAGUUGCAAUCCACAUGAAAAUGACAGAGGCAUGACAAAGCAAAAUAAAAGAGAUAUGUUAGCUACUCAUAUAUUAUCGCCAACGGAAAAAUAAAUCCUAUGUAGCAACCGGCACACAGUAUUAGAACAACUCAAUUACAAGCAAAAAAUGGUUCUUAUGUGUGCGAGUACCAAUUGCCUUAACAAGUUGUACAACUUGAACCCGAAAGAAAUAUUCUUGAACUUAAUCAUUUUACACGUUUGUACCACUAGCACCUAGUUGGCUAGCUACUAGGUACGUGUGUCCCGACUAGUACGACCUGACCUCUUCUCGGCCAAUGAAGAUGAUGCAGUUAUUUUCGUGCCACGAGAUCAAAUGACGAUCGAAGUUCCUCCACAUCGGCAGAGGUAAUCUCAAUCAGAAGAAAUAACAGGCCGCGGACGAUUAUAUCUGACUACCUCAACGCGCGCACAUGUGCUUCGAAUUUGACCAGUGUAAUUCGUUGAGAACUAUUUUUUCUAUGAAACUUUCCAAGCUUAGUUAUACCUCAGAGAAGCAAUCGAUCAUGUGCAGGCAGUAUAAAUACACAACGUACGCAUGGUGGCAGUCUAUCUCAUCGUUACAGAUAUAUCUUCCUUGAUUAGUUUUGUAAGCUCUUCAUCAGCGAUGGAGUACUCGACGAAGCUAGUGGUGCUGCUCGUAGCUCUCAUGUCGGCCAUGGCGGUCACGGCCCAAAACUCGGAGCAGGACUUCGUGGACGCCCACAACGCGGCGCGCGCCGACGUGGGCCUUGGGGAGGUGACAUGGGAUGCUACGGUGGCAGCCUUCGCGCAGGACUACGCGGAUCAGCGCCGCGGCGACUGCCAGCUGAUCCAUACUCCUGAUGGCCGGCCGUACGGGGAGAACCUCUACGGAGGCGGCGGGACCGAGUGGACGGCGACGGACGCCGUGAAUUCAUGGGUGUCGGAGAAGCAGUACUACGACCACGACAGCAACACCUGCUCGGCGCCCGAGGGUGAGUCGUGCGGGCACUAC